GAUGAAGAACGUAGCGAAAUGCGAUAAGUAAUGUGAAUUGCAGAAUUCAGUGAAUCAUCGAAUCUUUGAACGCACCUUGCGCCCUUUGGCCAUUCCGAAGGGCAUGCCUGUUUGAGUAUCAUGAACACCUCAACUCUUUAUGGUUUUCCAUGAUGAGCUUGGACUCUGGGGGUUUUGCUGGCUCACAGUCGGCUCCUCUGAAAUGAAUCAGCUUACCAGUGUUUGGUGGGUAUCAUAGGUGUGAUAACUAUCUACGCUUGUGGUUUUUCCACCAGGUAACCUUCAGCAGUGGAGGUUCGCUGGAGCUCAUAGAUGUCUCUCCUCAGUGAGGACAGCCCUUUGAAUGUUUGAUCUCAAAUCAGGUAGGACUACCCGCUGAACUUAAGCAUAUCAAUAAGCGGAGGA
rnacentral:misc_RNA from 1 species